rnacentral:tRNA from 6 species
GUGGGUGUAGCUCAGUUGGUAGAGCCCCGGAUUGUGAUUCCGGUCGUCGCGGGUUCGAGUCCCGUCAUCCACCCCA